GGUGCUGUGGAUCAGUGGUAGAGUGCUCGCCUAGCAUGUGUGAGGUACUGGGUUCGAUCCUCAGCACCACAU
rnacentral:tRNA from 1 species